GACGAACGCUGGCGGCGUGCUUAACACAUGCAAGUCGAACGGAAAGGCCCUGCUUGCCGGGUACUCGAGUGGCGAACGGGUGAGUAACACGUGGGUGAUCUGCCCUGCACUUCGGGAUAAGCCUGGGAAACUGGGUCUAAUACCGGAUAGGAGCCAUUUUUAGUGUGAUGGUUGGAAAGUUUUUUCGGUGUAGGAUGAGCUCGCGGCCUAUCAGCUUGUUGGUGGGGUAAUGGCCUACCAAGGCGGCGACGGGUAGCCGGCCUGAGAGGGUGGACGGCCACAUUGGGACUGAGAUACGGCCCAGACUCCUACGGGAGGCAGCAGUGGGGAAUAUUGCACAAUGGGCGCAAGCCUGAUGCAGCGACGCCGCGUGGGGGAUGACGGCCUUCGGGUUGUAAACUCCUUUCGCUAGGGACGAAGCUUUUUGUGACGGUACCUAGAUAAGAAGCACCAGCUAACUACGUG
rnacentral:rRNA from 1 species